AUUGAACGCUGGCGGCAGGCUUAACACAUGCAAGUCGAGCGGGGUGAUGGUGCUUGCACUAUCACUUAGCGGCGGACGGGUGAGUAAUGCUUAGGAAUCUGCCUAUUAGUGGGGGACAACAUCUCGAAAGGGAUGCUAAUACCGCAUACGUCCUACGGGAGAAAGCAGGGGAUCACUUGUGACCUUGCGCUAAUAGAUGAGCCUAAGUCGGAUUAGCUAGUUGGUGGGGUAAAGGCCUACCAAGGCGACGAUCUGUAGCGGGUCUGAGAGGAUGAUCCGCCACACGGGGACUGAAGCACGGCCCAGACUCCUACGGGAGGCAGCAGUGGGGAAUAUUGGACAAUGGGGGGAACCCUGAUCCAGCCAUGCCGCGUGUGUGAAGAAGGCCUUAUGGUUGUAAAGCACUUUAAGCGAGGAGGAGGCUCUUUUGGUUAAUACCCAAGAUGAGUGGACGUUACUCGCAGAAUAAGCACCGGCUAACUCUGUGCCAGCCGCCGCCGUAA
rnacentral:rRNA from 1 species